rnacentral:rRNA from 1 species
GACGAACGCUGGCGGUAUGCUUAACACAUGCAAGUCGAACGAGAAGUCUUUUAUUGAACCUUCGGGGGAUAUAAGAGACAGACAGUGGCGAACGGGUGAGUAACGCGUGGGCAACCUACCUAUCGGGGCGGGAUAGCCUCGAGAAAUCGGGAGUAAAACCGCAUAACACGGAUAUAUCGCAUGAUGAAUCCGUCAAAACUCCGGUGCCGAUAGAUGGGCCCGCGUCUGAUUAGCUAGUUGGUAAGGUAAGGGCUUACCAAGGCAACGAUCAGUAGCCGGUCUGAGAGGGCGAACGGCCACACUGGAACUGAGACACGGUCCAGACUCCUACGGGAGGCAGCAGUGGGGAAUAUUGCGCAAUGGGGGCAACCCUGACGCAGCAAUACCGCGUGAGUGAAGAAGGUUUUCGGAUCGUAAAGCUCUGUUAUUGGGGAAGAAGCAGUGACGGUACCCAAUGAGGAAGUCCCGGCUAACUACGUGCCAGCAGCCGCGGUAAUACGUAGGGGACGAGCGUUGUCCGGAAUCACUGGGCGUAAAGGGCGCGUAGGCGGUUUUAUAAGUCAGAUGUGAAAGGUACCGGCUCAACCGGUGACGUGCAUUUGAAACUGUAAGACUUGAGUACUGAAGAGGCAAGCGGAAUUCCUAGUGUAGCGGUGAAAUGCGUAGAUAUUAGGAAGAACACCGGUGGCGAAGGCGGCUUGCUGGGCAGAUACUGACGCUGAGGUGCGAAAGCGUGGGGAGCGAACAGG